rnacentral:misc_RNA from 1 species
UGUUCUCGAAGAAAUUAAUUAUGAUAUUGGAUUUCAUAAGGGUCAAUUAUUAUCUCUAAUGUGAAAGGUGUCAUUGGAUUUCCUUUGUUCUACAUCACUUAGAAGGAUAAUAGAUACGUUAGAGGUGUGCAAUCGGUCGGUACGGAAUCAAACCAAACCGAAAUAAGAGAAGAACCGAAUCAAACUGAACUGGUUUGGUUUGGUUGGGUUCGGUUAAAAACCAUUGGUUCCGUAAAUUCCCAAAGUGCCAAAUUCUUUUGUUCUCAAAUAAUACCGUUUCCACACUUGAACAUCAUCUUCCCCAGUCUUGGCUUCCAAGCAAAAUCCCAAUCCUCAGCAAAGAACUUUCCCAAAUCAUCAACAACAACAAAUUCUCAGCAUUAAACUUCCCCAAAUCAUCAAAGACAAUAAAUAUACAAAUAUGCUAAUCAUUGUUUCAUUUUCUCAAAAAAAAAAAAAA